rnacentral:lncRNA from 1 species
GACUCUUGGUCCUUCUGUAUGCCAAAAAUGAGUGCAUGCGCUCUUCAAUUUUGCGCCAAGAGUCCUUCACAACUUGGACUCUUGGUUUUUGGUAUUAAGAGGACUUUAGAUGCCCCACAUUGGGCUGCCUCUAGGUGGCAUAACUUAAUCCAAAUACACAUCAAAUUGGGUUAGCUAAUUUGCAAGGUUUGACUCCAAAUUAAUCUCCCAAAG